rnacentral:rRNA from 1 species
GACGAACGCUGGCGGCGUGCUUAACACAUGCAAGUCGAACGGAAAGGCCCUGCUUUUGUGGGGUGCUCGAGUGGCGAACGGGUGAGAACACGUGAGUAACCUGCCCUUGACUUUGGGAUAACUUCAGGAAACUGGGGCUAAUACCGGAUAGGAGCUCCUGCUGCAUGGAGGGGGUUGGAAAGUUUCGGCGGUUGGGGAUGGACUCGCGGCUUAUCAGCUUGUUGGUGGGGUAGUGGCUUACCAAGGCUUUGACGGGUAGCCGGCCUGAGAGGGUGACCGGCCACAUUGGGACUGAGAUACGGCCCAGACUCCUACGGGAGGCAGCAGUGGGGAAUAUUGCACAAUGGGCGGAAGCCUGAUGCAGCAACGCCGCGUGCGGGAUGACGGCCUUCGGGUUGUAAACCGCUUUCGCCUGUGACGAAGCGUGAGUGACGGUAAUGGGUAAAGAAGCACCGGCUAACUACGUG